GGAUAACUUACCCUUAGGACUGGGAUAACUCUGGGAAACUGGGGAUAAUACUGGAUAUUAGGCUAUGCCUGGAAUGGUUUGCCUUUGAAAUGUUUUUUCGCCUAAGGAUAGGUCUGCGGCUGAUUAGGUCGUUGGUGGGGUAAUGGCCCACCAAGCCGAUGAUCGGUACGGGUUGUGAGAGCAAGGGCCCGGAGAUGGAACCUGAGACAAGGUUCCAGACCCUACGGGGUGCAGCAGGCGCGAAACCUCCGCAAUGUACGAAAGUGCGACGGGGGGAUCCCAAGUGUUAUGCUUUUUUGUAUGACUUUUCAUUAGUGUAAAAAGCUUUUAGAAUAAGAGCUGGGCAAGACCGGUGCCAGCCGCCGCGGUAACACCGGCAGCUCGAGUGGUAGCUGUUUUUAUUGGGCCUAAAGCGUUCGUAGCCGGUUUGAUAAGUCUCUGGUGAAAGCUUGUAGCUUAACUAUAAGAAUUGCUGGAGAUACUAUUAGACUUGAAGUCGGGAGAGGUUAGAGGUACUACCGGGGUAGGGGUGAAAUCCUAUAAUCCUGGGAGGACCACCUGUGGCGAAGGCGUCUAACUGGAACGAUCUUGACGGUGAGUAACGAAAGCCAGGGGCGCGAACCGGAUUAGAUACCCGGGUAGUCCUGGCCGUAAACGAUGUGGACUUGGUGUUGGAAUGGCUUUGAGUUGUUCCGGUGCCGAAAGGGAAGCUGUUAAGUCCACCGCC
rnacentral:rRNA from 1 species